GACGAACGCUGGCGGCGUGCUUAACACAUGCAAGUCGAACGGACAGGCCCUGCUUUUGUGGGGUGCUCGAGUGGCGCACGGGUGAGUAACACGUGAGUAACCUGCCCUUGACUUUGGGAUAACUUCAGGAAACUGGGGCUCAUACCGGAUAGGAGCUCCUGCUGCAUGGUGGGGGUUGGAAAGUUUCGGCGGUUGGGGAUGGACUCGCGGCUUAUCAGCUUGUUGGUGAGGUAGUGGCUUACCAAGGCUUUGACGGGUAGCCGGCCUGGGAGGCGGACCGGCCACAUUGGGACUAAGAGACGGCCCAGACUCCUACGGGAGGCAGCAGUGGGGAAUCUUGCACAAUGGGCGGAAGCCUGAGGCAGCAACGCCGCGUGCGGGAUGACGUCCUUCGGGUUGUAAACCGCUUUCGCCUGUGACGAAGCGUGAGUGACGGUAAUGGGUAAAGAAGCACCGGCUAACUACGUG
rnacentral:rRNA from 1 species